rnacentral:rRNA from 1 species
CCUACGGGUGGCAGCAGUGAGGAAUAUUGGUCAAUGGGCGCGAGCCUGAACCAGCCAAGUCGCGUGCGGGAUGAAGGUUCUAUGGAUCGUAAACCUCUUUUAUAAGGGAAUAAAGUGUGGGACGUGUCCUAUUUUGUAUGUACCUUAUGAAUAAGGAUCGGCUAACUCCGUGCCAGCAGCCGCGGUAAUACGGAGGGUCCGAGCGUUAUCCGGAUUUAUUGGGUUUAAAGGGUGCGUAGGCGGCCUUUUAAGUCAGUGGUGAAAGUCUGUGGCUCAACCAUAGCAUUGCCGUUGGAACUGGGGGGCUUGAGUAUGUUUGAGGCAGGCGGAAUGCGUGGUGUAGCGGUGAAAUGCUUAGAUAUCACGAAGAACCCCGAUUGCGAAGGCAGCCUGCCAAGCCAUGACUGACGCUGAUGCACGAAAGCGUGGGGAUCGAACAGGAUUAGAUACCCGAGUAGUC